rnacentral:rRNA from 1 species
GCCUGCCCAGUGACUUGUUUAACGGCCGCGGUAUCCUAACCGUGCGAAGGUAGCGUAAUCACUUGUCUUUUAAAUAAAGACUAGUAUGAAAGGCAUCACGAGGGUCAAACUGUCUCCUUUUUCUAAUCAGUAAAACUAAUCUUCCCGUGAAGAAGCGGGAAUUUCCCUAUAAGACGAGAAGACCCUAUGGAGCUUUAAACUGUAAGUUAUUCGCCUAUUCUCUCCCAAUUUCAGAAAUUUAAUACCCCAGGCCCAUUAGCUAUACGUUUUAGGUUGGGGUGACCUAGGAGAAAAACAAACCCUCCUAGUUGAUACAGGCUAGGCCCUGAGAAAAAAGCCACAACUUUAACCACCAAUAAAUUGACAUCAAUUGACCCAGUCCGCUGAGCAACGAACCAAGUUACCCUAGGGAUAACAGCGCAAUCUACUUCAAGAGUCCCUAUCGACAAGUGGGUUUACGACCUCGAUGUUGGAUCAGGGUGUCCGAGUGGUGCAGCCGCUACUAAAGGUUCGUUUGUUCAACGAUUAAAACCCU